GCGGAAGUGGCGGAAUGGCAGACGCGUGGGCCUUAGGAGCCCAUAUCCGAGAGGGUGUAGGGGUUCAAGUCCCCUCUUCCGCA
rnacentral:tRNA from 1 species